rnacentral:misc_RNA from 1 species
AAGAAAGCAGCAAACUUUCUAGAAUUGUAUCACACAACUCAAAAGCACAAGGCAUAAUAGCUGGGGAUUUUAUUCACUUGAAAACUGAAUAGUAAUACAUUACAAGCAUGAGUGUUUAUAAACCCAAAAGUAAUCCUAAACCUUUACUUACUAGUUACUACUCCAAUUCCAUAUCAAAUAUGACUUCCUAAGCAAAGUGGUCCCCCACCCCCUUUUUGCUCCUAUAGGAUUGUUAACAUUAUUCAAG